rnacentral:rRNA from 1 species
GACGAAGGGGGCUAGCGUUGUUCGGAAUUACUGGGCGUAAAGCGCGUGUAGGCGGUUGUCCAAGUUGGAUGUGAAAACCUUGAGCUCAACUCAAGAAAUGCAUUCAGGACUGGAUGACUAGAGGACCGGAGAGGAUAGUGGAAUUCCCAGUGUAGUGGUGAAAUACGUAGAGAUUGGGAAGAACACCAGUGGCGAAGGCGGCUAUCUGGACGGUUUCUGACGCUAAGACGCGAAAGCGUGGGGAGCAAACAGG